UUUUGGACAAUGGGCGCAAGCCUGAUCCAGCCAUGCCGCGUGUAUGAAGAAGGCCUUCGGGUUGUAAAGUACUUUUGUCAGGGCAGAAAACCCUGAGGAUAACACCCUCAGGUCAUGACGGUACCUGAAGAAUAAGCACCGGCUAACUACGUGCCAGCAGCCGCGGUAAUACGUAGGGUGCGAGCGUUAAUCGGAAUUACUGGGCGUAAAGCGAGCGCAGACGGUUAUUUAAGCAAGAUGUGAAAGCCCCGGGCUCAACCUGGGAACUGCGUUUUGAACUGGGUAACUAGAGUGUGUCAGAGGGGGGUAGAAUUCCACGUGUAGCAGUGAAAUGCGUAGAGAUGGGAGGAAUACCGAGGCGAAGGCAGCCCCCGGGAAACACGACUUCAGUCGAAA
rnacentral:rRNA from 1 species